rnacentral:lncRNA from 1 species
GCCCUUUUCUCUUUUCUAGUCUUCGCAUCUGCUGGGGAAGGAAGGAUGACCUGGAAUUCUGUCCAAACCGAAGCUCAGGGCAGAGCAGUGUGUCAAAGGUCACCGAGGCAAAAAGUAGGCCAGCGAGGAGCAGAAGCACUUCCUCCGACCACUGACCACCACCAGGGUCCCAAGGGAGGAAGAGGAAUCCCCAACCCUUCACUGCCUGGCGCCAGGUCACAUAGCCAAGGAAUACCAGAGCCGCCACACCACCUUAAUUCUGGUCUUAAGCCAGGUUCCAGUCGUUGGAAGAAGAAACAAGAAUGAGACAGAAACAAAAUAUGCCAGUUCCCGUCCCUUGGCCAGAAGACAGAUAUCAGAGGUCCCAGCAGAAUUACAAAUGCUGAGAAACCCCAGGGUUGUCUGUGAACUCAGCAGAAGGAGCUGCAGUGUGUCAGGGGAAGACUGCCUUAAGCAUCUGUGAGGAGGGAGCGCUUACCCUGAGCCCUAAAGAACAAGCGGGGCUCAGGCAGGAGUGUGCAGCGUGCUGCAGACAAAACCUGAAAAUACAAUAGUAAAAGAAGGGCCGAGGCAGAGGCAAGCUGGCCCCACUGAGAGAUGGAGAGAGGCUGCAGGUCCUUGAACCAUCCACAGGAAAGACUGAGACCUUAGGCCCGGCAGGGUGGGGCACACCAGUGAGCUCAGCACCAAGGAGGCUAAGUUGGAAGGAUCAGGAGUUCCAGGCCAACUUGGGUUACACAGAACAGAAAGGAUAAAAAGGAAGUUUGAGAGAAUGGGAAAAAAGAAGGAAGGGAAGGAAGGAGGGAGAGAGAGAGGAAAGGCAGGAGGAAGGGAGGAAGGAAAGAAGAGAGGGGGAGAGGGAGGAAAGAAGGAAGCCCAAACAGCAGCAACAGAAAGCAGAGAUCUCACAGGGCAGAGGUAGCAGAGGUGGCAGAGGUGGCACACAUCUUUCUUCCCAGUACUCAAGACCAGCCUGAUCUACAAAGUGAAUUCCAGGCAGCCAGGGCUACACAGAGAAACCCUGCCUCCGACAAAAACAAACAAACAAACAAACAAACAAAAAAACAAUAAAACAAAAAACAAAAUAACA